AUCCCCGCCCCUUCGGCAGUCUGAAGUUACUGCUUACCUCAGACUCGGACUGUGCAGAUGGGUGGUAAAUCCCCGUGUACUCCCCUGCUCAGUAACCCCUCCCACUAUCAUUGGGGUGUGUGGCUAAUGCAGGGUCAGCUGGUGACCGGGCAGGGAGAAGCUUUAUACAGCAGUGAGCAGUCACUUCACUACUUCAGCUGCUGUGCAGUGUACAUGGUGGAUUGCCUGCUGUUGCAACGCUGAGGAGAUUCCUGCUCAGGGCAGGAGCUCCCCAGCAGUGUCUGCUGUGCUCCGAUUGGCAGAGUGACACAUCACUCACAGUCAGUCAGCCAAUCGGAGCACAGACACCCCCACACCAUUCCCAAACAGGAGGCUUCAUGGUGAUGAAAUUGCAGGCUGAACAGUUCAACACUACACAGAACAAAUGUUCUCGGUAAUCUCCUGGUUAUGACGGCAUUCAUAGUGGAUAAGAGUCUUAGAACUCAAAGCAACUUCUUUCUUCUCAAUUUGUCCAUCUGUGAUUUUUUCAUAGGUGCAUUUAUCAGUCCUUUGUAUGUGAUGUAUUUACUGACGGGAAAGUGGAUACUUGGCAGAUUUAUGUGUAAAGUGUGGUUAAUUGCUAGCUAUACAAUGUCUACAGCAUCAGCAUUUAACAUUAUUCUGAUCAGCUAUGACAGAUUUCUUUCCGUAACA